rnacentral:ncRNA from 2 species
AUGAUAUCUGCUGGAAAAAGCAUAUGCUUACCGAAGGUGUAACUCUCUCAGGUGGUCAAAAUUUGACUAAAGACAGUAGAUUGAUG